rnacentral:rRNA from 1 species
AGAGUUUGAUCCUGGCUCAGGAUGAACGCUAGCGGCAGGCCUAACACAUGCAAGUCGAACGGUAAGGCCCAGCUUGCUGGGUACACGAGUGGCGCACGGGUGAGUAACGCGUAUGCAACCUGCCUCGAACAGGAGGAUAGCCCCGAGAAAUUGGGAUUAAUACUCCAUAACACCAUUAGGUCGCAUGGCCAUAUGGUUAAAGCCCCGGCGGUUCGAGAUGGGCAUGCGUGACAUUAGCUAGUUGGUGGGGUAACGGCCCACCAAGGCGGCGAUGUCUAGGGGUUCUGAGAGGACAGUCCCCCACACUGGUACUGAGACACGGACCAGACUCCUACGGGAGGCAGCAGUGAGGAAUAUUGGUCAAUGGGUGCAAGCCUGAACCAGCCAUGCCGCGUGCAGGAUUGACGGCCCUAUGGGUUGUAAACUGCUUUUCCUGGGGAAGAACACCCGCCACGUGUGGCGGAUUGACGGUACCCGGGGAAUAAGCACCGGCUAACUCCGUGCCAGCAGCCGCGGUAAUACGGAGGGUGCAAGCGUUAUCCGGAUUUAUUGGGUUUAAAGGGUGCGUAGGCGGGCUAUCAAGUCAGUGGUGAAAUCCCGCAGCCCAACUGCGGAACUGCCAUUGAAACUAGUAGCCUUGAGUGCGGUUGAAGUGGAUGGAAUGUGUCAUGUAGCGGUGAAAUGCAUAGAUAUGACACAGAACACCGAUAGCGAAGGCAGUCCACUAAACCGCCACUGACGCUGAGGCACGAAAGCGUGGGUAGCGAACAGGAUUAGAUACCCUGGUAGUCCACGCCGUAAACGAUGAUAACUCGAUGUGUGCGAUAAACAGUACGCGUCCAAGCGAAAGUGUUAAGUUAUCCACCAGGGAAGUACGUCCGCAAGGAUGAAACUCAAAGGAAUUGACGGGGGCCCGCACAAGCGGAGGAGCAUGUGGUUUAAUUCGAUGAUACGCGAGGAACCUUACCUGGGCUUAAAUGUAGGAUGACUUCGGCCGAAAGGUCGUUUUCUUCGGACAUCUUACAAGGUGCUGCAUGGUUGUCGUCAGCUCGUGCCGUGAGGUGUCGGGUUAAGUCCCAUAACGAGCGCAACCCCUAUCUUCAGUUGCCAGCACGUAAUGGUGGGGACUCUGGAGGAACUGCCUACGCAAGUAGAGAGGAAGGUGGGGAUGACGUCAAAUCAGCACGGCCCUUAUGUCCAGGGCUACACACGUGCUACAAUGGCCCGUACAGAGGGCAGCUACCUGGCGACAGGAUGCCAAUCUCUAAAACGGGUCUCAGUUCGGAUCGGAGUCUGCAACUCGACUCCGUGAAGUUGGAUUCGCUAGUAAUCGCGUAUCAGCAAUGACGCGGUGAAUACGUUCCCGGGCCUUGUACACACCGCCCGUCAAGCCAUGGGAGUUGGGGGUACCUGAAGUCGAUAACCGCAAGGAGUCGCCUAGGGUAAAACCGAUGACUGGGGCUAAGUCGUAACAAGGUA